ACUCAAAUGAAUUGACGGGGACCCGCACAAGCGGUGGAGCAUGUGGUUUAAUUCGAGGCUACGCGAAGAACCUUACCCAGGCUUGACAUGGUUAAGACAGCGCAUGAAAGUGCGUCUCUCCGCAAGGAGCUUUUCCACAGGUGCUGCAUGGCUGUCGUCAGCUCGUGCUGUGAAGUGUUGGGUUAAGUCCCGCAACGAGCGCAACCUUUGUCCUUAGUUGCCAUCAGGUUAAGCUGGGCACUCUAGGGAGACUGCCGGUGAUAAACUGGAGGAAGGAGGAGACGACGUCAAGUCAGUAUGGCCCUUAUGCCUGGGGCUACACACGUGCUACAAUGGCCGUUACAAAGGGCUGCAAACUCGCAAGAGCCAGCAAAUCCCAAAAAGACGGCCUCAGUUCAGAUUGGGGGCUGCAACUCGCCCCCAUGAAGUCGGAAUCGCUAGUAACGGUAGAUCAGCAUCGCUACCGUGAAUACGUUCCCGGGUCUUGCACACACCGCCCGU
rnacentral:rRNA from 1 species